AACGAACGCUGGCGGCAGGCCUAACACAUGCAAGUCGAACGCACCGCAAGGUGAGUGGCGCACGGGUGAGUAACACGUGGGAAUGUACCCUUUGGUUCGGAAUAACGUCUGGAAACGGACGCUAAUACCGGAUGAGCCCUGCGGGGGAAAGAUUUAUCGCCAAAGGAGCAGCCCGCGUCUGAUUAGCUAGUUGGUGGGGUAAAGGCCUACCAAGGCGACGAUCAGUAGCUGGUCUGAGAGGAUGAUCAGCCACACUGGGACUGAGACACGGCCCAGACUCCUACGGGAGGCAGCAGUGGGGAAUAUUGGACAAUGGGCGAAAGCCUGAUCCAGCCAUGCCGCGUGGGUGAUGAAGGCCUUCGGGUUGUAAAGCUCUUUCGCACGCGACGAUGAUGACGGUAGCGUGAGAAGAAGCCCCGGCUAACUUCGUGCCAGCCGCCGCCGUAAAAC
rnacentral:rRNA from 1 species